rnacentral:rRNA from 1 species
GCGGUGGAGUAUGUGGUUUAAUUCGAUGCAACGCGAAGAACCUUACCUGGUCUUGACAUCCCGGAGACCCUUAGGAACUAGGGGUGCUUCCAUCUGGAAGAAUCUGGAGACAGGUGCUGCAUGGCUGUCGUCAGCUCGUGUCGUGAGAUGUUGGGUUAAGUCCCGCAACGAGCGCAACCCUUGCCUUUAGUUGCCAGCAGUUCGGCUGGGCACUCUAAAGGGACUGCCGGUGUUAAACCGGAGGAAGGUGGGGAUGACGUCAAGUCCUCAUGGCCUUUAUGACCAGGGCUACACACGUACUACAAUGGCCGAUACAAAGGGCAGCGACACUGCGAGGUGAAGCCAAUCCCGUAAAAUCGGUCUCAGUCCGGAUUGGAGUCUGCAACUCGACUCCAUGAAGUUGGAAUCGCUAGUAAUCGUGGAUCAGCAUGCCACGGUGAAUACGUUCCCGGGCCUU